AGGAAGGAGCGCGUGAAAGAACUGCUAGAUCGGUUGAACCUGCAUGAACAAGAGGGAGACGGCUUUGUGUGGGAAGAGGAGAUCGUUGAGCCUCCAACAUUGAUCAAAUAGUUAGCGAUUGCUAGGGUUCACACGUCUAGAGGGUUUAGUCCUACAACCCUCUAUUCAGAUAUGAGAUCGGCAUGGAAUCCGGCGAGAGAGGUGGUUUAGAGGAGGGUUGAGGAAAACUUAUUCACUGUACAAUUCGGUUGUCUCGCUAACUGG
rnacentral:rRNA from 1 species